GACGAACGCUGGCGGCGUGCUUAACACAUGCAAGUCGAACGGAAAGGCCCUGCUUUUGUGGGGUGCUCGAGUGGCGAACGGGUGAGUAACACGUGAGUAACCUGCCCUUGACUUUGGGAUAACUUCAGGAAACUGGGGCUAAUACCGGAUAGGAGCUCCUGCUGCAUGGUGGGGGUUGGAAAGUUUCGGCGGUUGGGGAUGGACUCGCGGCCUAUCAGCUUGUUGGUGGGGUAGUGGCUUACCAAGGCUUUGACGGGUAGCCGGCCUGAGAGGGUGACCGGCCACAUUGGGACUGAGAUACGGCCCAGACUCCUACGGGAGGCAGCAGUGGGGAAUAUUGCACAAUGGGCGGAAGCCUGAUGCAGCAACGCCGCGUGCGGGAUGACGGCCUUCGGGUUGUAAACCGCUUCCGCCUGUGACGAAGCGUGAGUGACGGUAAUGGGUAAAGAAGCACCGGCUAACUACGUG
rnacentral:rRNA from 1 species